AUGUUAGCGGCGGACGGGUGAGUAACACGUGGGUAACCUGCCUGUAAGACUGGGAUAACUCCGGGAAACCGGGGCUAAUACCGGAUGGUUGUUUGAACCGCAUGGUUCAAACAUAAAAGGUGGCUUCGGCUACCACUUACAGAUGGACCCGCGGCGCAUUAGCUAGUUGGUGAGGUAACGGCUCACCAAGGCAACGAUGCGUAGCCGACCUGAGAGGGUGAUCGGCCACACUGGGACUGAGACACGGCCCAGACUCCUACGGGAGGCAGCAGUAGGGAAUCUUCCGCAAUGGACGAAAGUCUGACGGAGCAACGCCGCGUGAGUGAUGAAGGUUUUCGGAUCGUAAAGCUCUGUUGUUAGGGAAGAACAAGUACCGUUCGAAUAGGGCGGUACCUUGACGGUACCUAACCAGAAAGCCACGGCUAACUACGUGCCAGCAGCCGCGGUAAUACGUAGGUGGCAAGCGUUGUCCGGAAUUAUUGGGCGUAAAGGGCUCGCAGGCGGUUUCUUAAGUCUGAUGUGAAAGCCCCCGGCUCAACCGGGGAGGGUCAUUGGAAACUGGGGAACUUGAGUGCAGAAGAGGAGAGUGGAAUUCCACGUGUAGCGGUGAAAUGCGUAGAGAUGUGGAGGAACACCAGUGGC
rnacentral:rRNA from 1 species